UUGUGCGCAACUGUACGUACUUCACUUUGCGCCGAAAGAAGAUUUCCCUGGCGUAAAAACAUGGCUACUCGACAAAAAAGUAAUACAUUUACCAGCAGUUCCACCCUUACUGUAGAAGACCGUGCACAAGUAGCAAUAAGGAGAAGGACCAUGGGUACACACAGCUUGGCUGAAUUUUGUCAAGAGAUGGAUGUAAGAAGUGGGGGCUAUGCCAGGAUCUUUGAUAUUUACAGAGCUUGAGUCCUGCCGGAAUGCAUCGGAUCAGGGUACCAGACCUUUUUGGAACCUUUUUGACAGUAAAUAUAAAUCUUUUCCAGCAAACUAUGUUCAAAUUUGACCACACAUAUGUGAAAAAGUGUCAAAGAAUAUCGCCGUCGCUUUGUUCCGGACAUUUUGACAGCAAACUCAUGCUGCCUGAGCAUGGACACAGACUCACGUCAAACGUCACGUCACGAACCGUCAACCCUUCUGCGUGCUCAUUGGAAAAGAGCUUUUUUCUCUUAAUUUGUAUCUACAUAUCUGUAAUGUCUGAUAAAAAGCGUAGUUUGAUACUGUCCUACUUGCUUUUGUGCAUGAUUUGUAAACAGUGAAUUGAGUGUAAAUAAAAAAUGUGAAAAUUAAGUCUAAGUUGGUAAUGGCUGCGAUUAUACAACAGAAAAAACAGUCAAAUCUCUGUCUCGUUGGCAAACGUUUAUUUUUUCUUAUAAUAAAAUUGAUAACAUCAUCAUCAUCAUCAUCAUGGAAAAAAGCUAUUAUUAUUAUUAUUAUUAUUAUUAUUAUUAUUAUUAUUAUAGAAAACAUAAGCAUUUGAAUAAAAACAGUUGGCACAUAA